AGAUCAGAAGCGAGAAUGUUGACAUAAGUAGCGAUAAAGAGGGUGAGAGACCCUCUCGCCGAAAGUCCAAGGGUUCCUGCUUAAAGCUAAUCUGAGCAGGGUAAGCCGGCCCCUAAGGCGAGGCCGAAAGGCGUAGUCGAUGGGAACCACGUUAAUAUUCGUGGGCCAGUGAGAAGUGACGGAUCUUUGAAGUUGUCUGCCCUUAUCGGAUUGGGUGGGCAGCCGCGAGGUCCCUGGAAAUAGCCUCACAUCAGACCGUACCCUAAACCGACACAGGUGGACUGGUAGAGUAUACCAAGGCGCUUGAGAGAACCACAUCAAAGGAACUCGGCAAAUUACCUCCGUAAGUUCGCGAUAAGGAGGCCCCAUAUGUACGCAAGUAUGUGUGGGGGGCACAAACUAGGGGGUGGCGACUGUUUACUUAAAACACAGGGCUGUGCGAAGCCGUAAGGCGACGUAUACAGUCUGACGCCUGCCCGGUGCUGGAAGGUUAAAAGGAGGGGUGCAAGCUCUGAAUUGAAGCCCCAGUAAACGGCGGCCGUAACAAUAACGGUCCUAAGGUAGCGAAAUUCCUUGUCGGGUAAGUUCCGACCUGCACGAAUGGCGUAACGAUCUCCCCGCUGUCUCUGAUGUGGACACAGCGAAAUUGAACUGUCUGUCAAGAUGCAGACUUCCCGCGGUUAGACGGAAAGACCCCAUGAACCUUUACUCUAGCUUUGCACUGGUAUCAGGAAUGUGAUGUGCAGGAUAGGUGGUAGGCAUCGAAGCGGGGACGCUAGUCUUCGUGGAGCCUCCCUUGAGAUACCACCCUUCGCAUUCUUGAUAUCUAACCGCGGCCCGUUAUCCGGGUCCGGGACCCUGCAUGGUGGGGAGUUUGACUGGGGCGGUCGCCUCCUAAACAGUAACGGAGGCGCGCGAUGGUGGGCUCAGACCGGUCGGAAAUCGGUCGUUGAGUGCAAUGGCAGAAGCCCGCCUGACUGCAAGACUGACAAGUCGAGCAGAGACGAAAGUCGGUCAUAGUGAUCCGGUGGUCCCUUGGGUGGGCCAUCGCUCAACGGAUAAAAGGUACUCUGGGGAUAACAGGCUGAUGAUGCCCAAGAGUCCAUAUCGACGGCACCGUUUGGCACCUCGAUGUCGGCUCAUCUCAUCCUGGGGCUGGAGCAGGUCCCAAGGGUAUGGCUGUUCGCCAUUUAAAGAGGUACGUGAGCUGGGUUUAGAACGUCGUGAGACAGUUCGGUCCCUAUCUGCCGUGGGUGCAGGAGACUUGAGAAGAGUUGACCCUAGUACGAGAGGACCGGGUUGAACGAACCACUGGUGGACCAGUUAUCGUGCCAACGGUAGUGCUGGGUAGCUAUGUUCGGACAGGAUAACCGCUGAAGGCAUCUAAGCGGGAAGCCCCCUUCAAAACAAGGUCUCCCUUGAGAGCCGUGGAAGACCACCACGUCGAUAGGCUAGAGGUGUAAGAGCGGUAACGCUUUCAGCUGACUGGUACUAAUUGCUU
rnacentral:rRNA from 1 species